AACGAACGCUGGCGGCAUGCCUAACACAUGCAAGUCGAACGCGACCUUCGGGUAUAGUGGCGCACGGGUGCGUCACGCGUGGGAACCUUCCCUUAGGUUCGGAAUAACUCCCCGAAAGGGGUGCUAAUACCGGAUAAUGUCUUAGGACCAAAGAUUUAUUGCCUUUGGAUGUGCACGCGUUGGAUUAGCUAGUUGGUAAGGUAAAAGCCUACCAAGGCGACGUUCCAUAGCUGGUCUGAGAGGAUGACCAGCCACACUGGGACAGAGACACGGCCCAGACUCCUACGGGUGGCAGCAAGGGGGAAUAUUGGACAAUGGGCGAAAGCCGGAUCCAGCAAUGCCGCGUGAGUCAGGAAGGCCUGAGGGUUGUAAAGCUCUGUUACCCGGGAUGAUAAUGACAGUACCGGGAGAAUAAGCUCCGGCUAACUCCGUG
rnacentral:rRNA from 1 species